GAUAUACACCACGGCAUUCCUUGGUAGCCAAGCAUAGGGCUAAGAUGAGAACUAUUUGGCUACUUCUUAAUAUUUAAGUGGAUGAGCAGCAAACAUCUUUCUCCGUCUUCCUGAGCUCCAUUCUGCAAUUGCAGUGCAGCAGGACGACAGUGCAUUUACUGUGGCAUGCUGUUGGCCCCAUGCACUUCCCCCUUUCCCCCAUAGAUCUCGGCAGUGCCUUCUGCUUUGGUCCUGACAGGUAUAUUCUGCUUUGUCAGAAUCUCUUAUGUGAUCUUGGACAAGGUAUGAUGAUUAAUACUGAGUGUCAACUUGAUUGGAUUGAAGGAUGCAAAGUAUUGAUCCUGGGUGUGUCUGUAACAGUGUUGCCAAAGGAGAUUAACAUUUGAGUCAGUGGGCUGGAGAAGAAAGACCCACUCUUAAUCUGGUGGGCACAAUCUAAUCAGCUGCCAGCACAGCUGGAAUACAAAGCAGGCAGAAAAAUGUGAAAAGGUGAGACUGGCCUAGCCUCCCAGCCUAUAUCUAUCUCCCGUGCUGGAUGCUUCCUGCCCUCAAACAUCAGACUCCAAGUUCUUCAGUUUUGAGACUCAGACUGGUUCUCCUUGCUCCUCAAGCUUGCAGACAGCCUAUUGUGGGACCUCGUGAUCAUAUUCCUUCAAUUAGAGUGCCUCUGAAAGACAGGGUGUAUUCCAGCUGGCAUUGGGACAACCUAAAGUUUAAACCUUUGGGUGAAAAAGUGCCAACUUGGGAGACAUAUUAUCAAGACUGAAUCAGAGAGUUGACAGCAUACCAGGAAGUGUCACUGUAUAGUUUGGAAGAUGGAAAUCAUACUACUUUUUUCCCAUGUAAGCACUCCAGGAAAUUAACCUCCAAAUACAACUGAGGAAUAGGCACCGUUAUGGCUUUUUUACAGAUCAAUAAACUGAUGAAAUACGGUGAAGCUAUGUAAGUAGACCAAAGAUGUACAAGAAGACACACAUUGAGCAGAAAAUAAAUUUAAGCCUGGCUUCUCAACUCUUUAUUUAACCAGAGACGGUUCUAUCUCAAACAUGAGGUUCUAUAUGAAAGCAGGAGGGAAUUAGGAAGUAAAAUCUGGUGAGCAUUUUUCCUGAAAUAUUACAGCUGUCAUUCUCAGGGCCCUCGUCCUGAGAUAGUGGCAGGUUAAGAUAUUAAAUUUUUAUUUCUCUGGGAACUCUUCAUGGACUAUUGCCAUAUCAAUGACAAUGCAGACAGAAGUGCAGGUGAUUUUAAAGAACAGACUGCUUGACGUACCCUGUGUCUAGUACAGCUACACCCUAGAGCAGUUAGCAGUGCUUAUCUGAAUUCUUUGUUAUUUGUCAAAAAGAUUAUUGUUUUCUGACACAAUCUUUCUUUUCUAAGAAAAAAAAAAAAGCAGUGGUACAUAUUCUAACUAUGCUUUAGAAUCCCAGCUUCUGUCCUAAAGAUAAAAAUUUCAAGAUGACUCCAAAAGGAAAAAAAGUGAUAUGGAUAUAAGUCAAGUGUUUUUAAGCUUUAAAACCAUGAUAUCCUAUUUCUCUUUCUCUAUUUUUUCUUUUAAUGCAUUAAGCAUAAUCUCAUACAACCAGGAAUGUAAACCGUGACCAGUUUACCAAGAAAGGCUAAACUCAAAAGAACAUAUAAUGAUAUGUUUGUCUUUCCUUUAUUGUCUUUGCAUUUAAUUUUCAUAUAUAUCCAUAUUUGUGCAGUGACUUUGAAUUUGUCUCCUGGAGGCAGAUGCUCAUGCAGGUUUAACUACUGAAAACUAUAGAUGGAAAUGUUGAUGACUAGGAGAGAAUACACUGGGCAAUGUGGACAGGGCCAGAAUAUUUUGCAUGAGCGGGAAGCAGGAUUCUGUCAUCAAAGGAAACCAGUGUGCACUGUUGUUUGGUGAGGAAACUAGCACAUAGAUAAGAAACUCUUUUGAUUACCUCCGCUAUAUAUCUAAAGGAUGUUAUUCCCAAUGGAUUGCUCUAAGGGCUUUUCACUGUAGUUUUAAUAAUGGCCAUGCCAACAUUGUAUCUUUUAAGAAUAUUGAAAGAGACCAAUUUGGGAGACUGUGACCAGUAUGAGUGUUCACUUCACCAAACUAUCUCUGCUAAACUCUGAGGAUCUGGAGGUUGGGGGAUGAAAUGCUCUGAAGAUGAUACUGGAGGCAAAUAUUUUCCUUGUUACUCUUCUUUUCUCUCAGCAAAGUGACUAUAAGGUGUUUUAGUCCAUUAAAUUAACUGAAUAGCCGGGGGCAGUGGCUCAUGCCUAUAAUCCCAGCACUUUGGGAGACAAAGGCAGGCGGAUCACCUAAGGUCAGGAGUUUGAGACCAGCCUGACCAACAUGGUGAAACCCUGUCUUUACUAAAAAUACAAAAUUAGCUGGGCGUGGUGGCGCAUGCCUGUAAUCCUAGCUACUCUGGAGGCUGAGGCAUGAGAAUCCGUGGAACCUGGCAGGCGGAGGUUGCAGUGAGCCAAGAUCGUGCCAUUGCACUCUGGCCUGGGCAACAAGAGUGAAACUCCACAUCAAAAAAUAAAUAAAUAAAUAAAUAAAUAAAUAAAUAAAUAAAUAAAUAGAAUAGAUGUGUACCCUCAUGAAAUCAAUAAUUAGAAAAAAUAAGUAAAAAGAAUAGAUACAAUGAGUUUUUAAAAUUUACUUGGCAAUGAUAAUAGCAAUGAAAAUACUAACUCAUAGAGUAAGUCCUAUGUGCCAGGCACUCUUAGAAGUACUUUGCAUUUAUCAUCUUAUCUCACAGUCACAAAACCCCAUAUGAUGGGUACUAAUAUUAUUCUUGUUUUAUAAUAGAGGCAGAUUUGAGAUUCAAUCCUAGGUAGUGUGGUUUCAGAGUCUACACUCUUUAUUACUGAGGUACUGCCUCUCAUAAAACAAAGCUAUGUGUUUUUUUGACUUGGUUUGAUGACAGGACCACAGCUUGGGCUUGUCUAAGUUUAUGCCUUUCUCAGUUUUAUCUUAUCUUGCUCUACCAUUUCUUACCUUUCCUAGAUGUUCUCACCCCACUUGCCCAGCCCAGUAUCCCAUGCUUUACUGCUUCCCUGUACUUUUAGUCUAAUAAAAAAGCACCU
rnacentral:lncRNA from 1 species